rnacentral:rRNA from 1 species
CCUACGGGUGGCAGCAGUGAGGAAUAUUGGUCAAUGGACGCAAGCCUGAACCAGCCAUGUCGCGUGCAGGAAGACUGCUCUAUGAGUUGUAAACUGCUUUUGUACGAGGGUAAAUCCCGAUACGUGUAUCGGGUUGAAAGUAUCGUACGAAUAAGGAUCGGCUAACUCCGUGCCAGCAGCCGCGGUAAUACGGAGGAUUCAAGCGUUAUCCGGAUUUAUUGGGUUUAAAGGGUGCGUAGGCGGUUCGUUAAGUUAGAGGUGAAAUCCGGGGGCUCAACCCCAGCACUGCCGUUGAUACUGGCGGGCUAGAGGUGAGGUGCGGUAGGCGGAAUGUGUGGUGUAGCGGUGAAAUGCAUAGAGAUCAUGCAGAACACCGAUUGCGAAGGCAGCUUACCAAACUACGACUGACGUUGAGGCACGAAAGCGUGGGGAGCAAACAGGAUUAGAUACCCGUGUAGUC